UUUGUAGUUUUUAUUUUAAGAUAAAAUAAAGAAAAAGGGUCAAAAAUAGGAAAAGUAACAAUAUUAGUGCUAAAAAAAUAUUUAAGUACUAAAGGUGUAAAAAUCUCGGGGAGGAUCAAAACUUACAUGUCUACAGCUACCCCUCAUUGACUGGAAACACGAAGAGUUUUCAAGCAAACAACGACGAGACAUGUUUUUGAACUGACCCAUAUUCAAAAAGAUAAAAACAAAGAAAGAGUGGGAGACCGAGUCCUGGUUUUGGACAGCCUACAUAUCCCGAGGUUAUGAGGGAAUCAGGUCACGUGUAGUUCAAAAGUGAAUAAAGUGACGCAGUAUGUGGAGAGGAUGAGAGAGUCGAGUGAGGUUCCAUCGAGGCCCCGGUCCGUAGUCCUGUUAUUACAUCAAAAUCAAAAUGAAAAAGAACCAAACAAACCCAUCAACUAUGAGUUACAAGAUUUCUAUCUAUAAGUCUUCUGAAGCAUAAUCUUGAGUCUUGAAUGGUUGUUCAUGCAGACUUUGAUUUGAACCUUGAUGCUUUCUAGUUGCAUGUAUUGAUUCAUUCUUCCACCGCUUCUCCGGAUCAAGACCUGACAUGCAGUUCUCGAGACUUCAAUAUGUCUUGAGUAGUUCACAUCUUUCAUAUGCUUAUGCAUUUUGGAUUCACUUUUUUCCUUUUCUUUUAUUCUGGAUUGAGACUUCUUCUUUUGGUUAUCUCGGAUUGUCGACUCAAAUUCUUGAGGCGAGCUUCUGUUACUUCUAUCUUGAAUUGAAUUAUGAAAUGACUUCUCUCGUUCUCCAGGUAGGCGCCUGCUAAUGACUUAAAAUUAGAAAUGAGUUCCUUGUUCUCCGGUUGGGCGCCUUCUACCGACUUAAAACUUGAAACUCUUGAAAUAAAUACCCUCGUUCUCAAGAUGGGUGCCUGAUACUACAGCAAAACAGACAAAACAAAGAAACUUUUCUGUCCAAGUUUGCACUAGGAAGAUUUAUGAGUUAUUAGCAGAACGAUAAAUCACCUAUGCUAUCGAUAAAGGAUGCAAUGAUGAGAGUAAAAGUGAAGAUUCGACUAUGAAGUGCGUCUCCUAUGAGUAAAACUAAGAAAAUUUCGACUUGCAAAUGUGUCUACUAAAAAACCUGAAUGACCCUGACUAUGAAGUGCGUCUCCUAGAUUUAAGAUUGAGCUUGCGAAAAACUAUAAACUAAGCUUGACUAAUGUAAAAAAUGAUCCUAUUCUCCAAGAGAGACCUUUGAUAUCAAGAAAACUAAAGAUUAACAACUUAAAACUAAAAACUAACCCUUUUUGUUUCUUUUCAAAUCCAGACUUCCCUUUUUUAAAAAAUUAUUAUCCUAGGAGAAAGUUUUAAUUUUAGGAGAAAUUUCAUCAGCCUAGGUCUCUUUUCUUUUCUUUUCUUUUCUUUUUUUUGGUAUCUUAAAAGAAAGAUUCAUCUGACUAAGAUUUCCAUUCUAGGAGAAAAUUCAUCAGACUAGGUUUCUUAUCUUUUCUAUACUAGGAGAAAGUUCAUCAAACUAGGUCUUUCUGAUUAUCUUAGGAAAAAGAUUCAUCAGACUAAUAUUUCUUUUUUAUCCUAGGAGAAAAUUCAUCAGACUAGGUUUCUUAUAUUAGGAGAAAGAUUCAUCAGACUAGGUUUUUUUUUGUUAUCUUAGGAGAAAGAUUCAUCAGACUAAGAUUUCUAUCCUAGGAGAAAGUUCAUCAGACUAGGUUUUCUAUCAUAGGAGAAAGUUCAUCAGACUAGGUUUUCUAUCAUAGGAGAAAAAAUAUGAAGAGCAAUGGCAACAUUUAUGCACAUUAGCAAGACAAGUAAAGGGAAAGAUUUGAGAAACAUCCCCUUGUCAGCUCUUUUCUUCUCUUCUCUUUUUUUUCUUUUUUUUGAAACCACUUUCCUUGCACUACUUUGUUCCUGUUCAGCUGAUGAAAAUUUUGUCAGCUUUGAAAGCGGUGGUCGGUUUGUGGUCUUGAGUCUUGGGCAGCUAGGCUUUUGCUCAAUCAGCUUGGGUUGGUUUCAAGAGACUUUUGUUCUGCAGCAACCCUAAUAGUUUCACACCCAGUACUAUUUGUAUUUGUGGCUCAAUCAGCCUUAUCCCAACUGGAGAUCUUUGUGGCUCAAUCAACCUUGUUUUGACACGGAAAAUGGAUUAUAUACUAACUCAAACAACAAAUAAAGUAAGGCAACAGAGGAUUCAUCACAACGUGUAAAUUAGAACGAAAGUAGAAAAGGAACAGAGAUAACAGACCUUUUAUAUACAUGAAGAUUUAUUGAAUACAAACAUGUAAACUCAAUGAGAGAAUUUGAACAAACCGAACCAGACACAGAGAACUCGCCAGCGAUCUCGGGUGAUAGAGCUCCAGCGUGAUUAAUGGAAAAAAUUGAAACUGCUUUUGUGGUUCUUUUCGGGUCAGCUUUUGGCUAACAUUUAGGGCUUUGGGGGGCUGUUUUCGAGCUGGGUGUGGGAGGUGUUUGUGGUAGCUUUAUUGCUGACUUUUGGUGAGCUUUUGGAGUUGUUUUCAAUGGACAUUUUGCUGCAUUUUUCAGCUGUAAACAGAGGUGUUUCAUAGUAAUUUUGGAGUUACUUAAUGGAGUUUAAGAGUGGCUUAAUGGAGGUUUCAUUGUUACCCUUUCAUGGCUAAAAAAACAGGCUCUUUGGGGGUGUUUGAGGGUGGUUUAAUGAAGCAUUUUAGGAAGAAUAUAAAAUAUAAGAGAGGAGGUGUGGCUAUUUUUUUAGAUUUGUAUUUUCCCCAAUUUGCUCUAUCUCCUCCUAUCUGUCUCUCUCUAUUUUUUGUCCAUUGUCCUCUCAUCCCCUUUAUAUUAAUUGUGAGCCUAGGUGAGUGCUUGGGGAGGAAGAAAGAAUAUGAGUGGUCUGUAAGGAAUAUUUUUGUGGUCCUCCCCUAUUAAAAUCAAUGUAUUAAUGUAUGUAUGGAAUUGUAGUGUGCAUGUAAUAAGUUUGUUGGAGGAAUUACAUAGGAGGGUGAGGUGUGAAAAGAUGAUUGGAAGAAAAAAAAGAAAUAUAAAAGGAAAAUAAAGAAGAUAAAAGACUACGUCCACUAUUUCAUUUCUUGUUUCGGUUUUGCUUUUGUCGUUCUUUUGAUUUCAUUCUUCUCAUUUUUCCUUUCUUUUUUUUCUUGUUAAUUUUUGUUUUCUUGAUAAAACAAAAGCUCAAAAUACUAAUAUAUAUAUAUAUAGUCCUAAAAAUGUGGAAUCUUUUUAAUUUUUUUUUUUAAAAAAAAACUAAAGUAGAAACUACAAGAGAGGAAAAAAACGUGUAGUAAAAGUAUUGAAAAUUGAAUUAAAUCAAAGUUAUGGCUGAUAAAAUAAAAACUUAGUACACUAAAAUCAUGUGACUUUUUUUGUACUUUUUUUCAAUUUUAUCCAAAGUAAGAUACACUCAAAAUUUCUAGAGAAAUACUACUUAGCUAAAAUAAAAGAAAAAUAAUAUUUUUUGUAGUUUUCAUUUUAAGAGAAAAUAAAGCAAAAAGGUCAAAUAUAGGCAAAGUAACUGUUUACCGUGAAAAUGGUAACAACAAUUAAAUUUGUAAAUGGUAUUCUAAAAAUACAUGAUAUAUACCCGAGCUAGUAGUUAGAGCAGUUGAUACUAAGAACGUGAAGCUUAACGAUAAAAUGCGAGCUAAAACAAGACAGUAAUCAAACCGAAGGGACCUGUUGCCCGGAUGCAAAGCCGGUCGAUAAGGACCUCGGGGUCGGAACUCGAAUCAAGCUCGAGCUAUCGGGGGCAACCGGGAAUAGGAUAACAAUUAAGCAUACGAUCAAGCAAGGCUCUUUACGGCCAAAGUUGUGCAAUAUAGCAUGAAAUAAGUAAGAAGACAAUAGAUGUUAAAGCGGCCUCGAGCCAGUGAGAACGAACAAAAUAUGAGAAAGAGAGAGAGAUAUUAUUGCUUUGGUGGAGAAAUGGAGCAAUUUUAGCCUCUUACAAAGUGGUAUGGGUUCCCCUUAUAUAGGCAAGGGAAUGCGGUAUGGUACAUAGUGCAUUAAAUGUAAAUAUACGGGAAUGGGACGGCUAGACAUGACACAUGAGCCUAUUGAUUCUAGCUGCUUGCCUCGGGAGUUCCCCGUCUUCAUAACCUUUGAUGUGUCGCAGACAGAUGCCUUAACCUCGGAGCCUCUACAGGGCCACAGAUGUUCCUCGAGAUAAGGAGCCUGAUCAUGAUCCCACAACCUUGAGGAGCUAACAUGACAUUCUGAAUAUACCUUAAUGGCGGGAAAUGGAUUCCCCUGAUUUCACCGCAUACAGUAACAAUAUUAGAGUUAAGAAAAUACUUAAGUACUAAAGGUGUAAAAAUCUCGGGGAGGGUCAAAAAUUACAUGUCUACAAUUGCCCCUCUUUGAGUGGAAACACGAACAGUUUUCAGACAAAGACCGACGAGACAUGUUUUUGGCCCGACCCAUAUUCAAAAAGAUCAAAAAAUAAAGAAAGAGUGUGCGACCGGGUCCUGGUUUUGGACAGCCUACAUAUCCGGGGUUAUAAGGGAAUCAGGACACGUGUAGUUCAAAAGUGAAUGGAGUGAUGCAGUAUGUGGAGAGAAUGAGAGAGUCGAGUGAGGUUCCGUAAAGUCCCCGGUACGUGGUCCUUUUAUUAUAUCAAAAUCAAAAUGAAAAAGAACUAAACAAACCUAUCAACUAUGAGUCACAAGAUUUCUAUCUAUAAGUCUUCUGGAACUUAAUCUUGAGUCUUAAAUGGUCCUUCAUGCAGACUUUGAUUUGAACCUUGAUGCUUUCUAGCUGCAGGUAUUGAUUCAUUCUUCCACGGCUUCUCUGGAUCAAGACCGGACAUGCAGUGCUCGUGACUUUAGCAUGUCUUGAGUAGUUCACAUCUUUUAUCUACUUCUGCAUUUUGGAUUCACUUUUUUUCCUUUUCUUUUAUUCUGGAUUGAGACUUCUUCUUUUGGUUAUCUCGGAUUGUCGACUCACAUUCUUGAAGCGAGCUUUUGUUAGUUCUAUCUUGAAUUAAAUUCUAAAACUAGAAAUGAAUUCCCUUGUUCUCCAGGUGUGCGUCUGCAACUGAGUUAAGACUUGAAUGAAUUCCCUUGUUCUCCAGGUGGGCACCUGCUAUUAACCUAACAACUUGAAAUGAAUUCCCCCGUUCUAUAGGUGAGCGCCUGCUACCGACUUAAAACUUGAAACUCUUGAAAUAAAUACCCUCGUUCUCCAGAUGGGCGCCUGAUACUACAGCAAAACAGACAAAACAAAGAAACUUUUCUGCCCCAGUUAGCACUAGGAAGAUUUGUGAGUUAUUAGCAGAACUAUAAAUCACCUACGUUAUCGAUAAAGGAUGCAAUGAUGAGAGUAAAAUUGAAGAUUCGACUAGGAAGUGUGUCUCCUAUGAGUAAAACCAAGAAAAUUUUGACUUGCAAAUGCGUCUACUAAAAAAACUGAAUGACCCAGACUAGGAAGUGCGUCUCCUAGAUUUAAGAUUGAGCUUGUGAAAAAUUAUAAACUAAGUUUAACUAAAGUAAAAAUUGACCCUAUUCUCAAGGCGGGACCCCUGAUUUCAAGAAAACUAAAGAUUAAUAACUUAAAACUAAAAAUUGACCCUUUUUUUCUUUUCGAAUCCAAAAAUUCCUUUUUUUUAAAAAAAAAUUAUUGUCCUAGGAGAAUGUUUUAAUCAUAGGAGAAAGAUUCAUCAGACUAAGAAUUUGAUCCUAGGAGAAAGUUCAUUAGACUAGGUCUCUUUUCUUUUUUUUUGGUAUUUUAGGAGAAAGAUUCACCGGACUAAGAUUUCUAUCCUAUGAGAAAAUUCAUCAAACUAGGUUUCUUAUCUUAGGAGAAAGUUUCAUCAGACUAAGAUUUCUUAUCCUAGGGAAAGUUCAUCAGACUAAGGCGAUUAUCAUAGGAGAAAGAUUCAUCAGACUAGGUUUUUUUUUGUUAUAUU
rnacentral:lncRNA from 1 species